rnacentral:rRNA from 1 species
UGUAAACUAUGCGGGCCAGGUGUCGGGCGGGCGUUAGAGCCCGCCCGGUGCCGCAGGGAAGCCGUUAAGCCCGCCGCCUGGGGAGUACGGCCGCAAGGCUGAAACUUAAAGGAAUUGGCGGGGGGGCACACAAGGGGUGGAUCCUGCGGCUCAAUUGGAGUCAACGCCGGGAACCUCUACCGGGGGCGACAGCAGGAUGACGGCCAGGCUAACGACCUUGCCCGACGCGCUGAGGGGAGGUGCAUGGCCGUCGCCAGCUCGUGCUGUGAAGUGUCCUGUUAAGUCAGGCAACGAGCGAGACCCCCGCCCCUAGUUGGGACCCUGCGGGCGACCGCGGGGGCACACUAGGGGGACUGCCGCCGCUAAGGCGGAGGAAGGAGGGGGCCACGGCAGGUCAGCAUGCCCCUAAACCCCCGGGCUGCACGCGGGCUACAAUGGCGGGGACAGCGGGAUCCGUUAUUUAGGGGACACUUAUUUAGGUGACACCCA